GAUGAAGAACGCAGCGAAAUGCGAUAAGUAAUGCGAAUUGCAGAAUUCAGUGAGUCAUCGAAUCUUUGAACGCACAUUGCGCCCGCCAGUAUUCUGGCGGGCAUGCCUGUUCGAGCGUCAUUACAACCCUCAGGCCCCCGGGCCUGGCGUUGGGGAUCGGCGGAGCCCCCCGUGGGCACACGCCGUCCCCCAAAUGCAGUGGCGGUCCCGCCGCAGCUUCCAUCGCGUAGUAGCUAACACCUCGCGACUGGAGAGCGGCGCGGCCACGCCGUAAAACACCCAACUCUUCUGAAGUUGACCUCGAAUCAGGUAGGAAUACCCGCUGAACUUAAGCAUAUCAAUAAGCGGAGGA
rnacentral:misc_RNA from 1 species